rnacentral:rRNA from 1 species
UACAGAGGUCCCAAGCGUUGUUCGGAUUCACUGGGCGUAAAGGGUGCGUAGGCUGUCGGGUCAGUCUGACGUGAAAUCCCGCAGCUCAACUGCGGAACUGCGUCGGAUACUAUUCGGCUUGAGGAAUGGAGGGGAGACUGGAAUUCUCGGUGUAGCAGUGAAAUGCGUAGAUAUCGAGAGGAACACCAGUGGCGAAGGCGAGUCUCUGGACAUUUCCUGACGCUGAGGCACGAAAGCCAGGGGAGCAAACGGG